CACACAGACACAGUCAGAGAGGUUAUUACACAAAAAAAAACCCUUUGCGUUGUCACAGUGGCGUUUGUGCUCAACAUCUCAUUGCAACAUAGAGUCAAAGUGCAGCAGAGCAAACACACACCUGCGCUCUCUGUUUACACACACACACUUUUGUCAAUCUUGAAUUAUUAGAACAUCGGGAGCGCUCGACAGCCCUUUAAGAGGCUCUAAAUCCAGAUUUGCGAUUUUCUGAAUAUUGACCGAAGUUGACGUGUUGAAAGCAGGAAAAAUGGGUGACGAGAACCACUUAUAAUGGCUGAAGCAUCUCCAAAAGAGAGUAAAAAAAAAUAAAGGACAACCGGUGGACCAGCACCACGGCCAUGGACUCUUUAUGCAUGUGGAGAGCGAAAGCUAGAACGUCCGAUCCCUCUCAGCACAAAUUUGAUGAAACAACUAAUGCUGGCUCUGGAAGAAUGGAGUCACCACACGUCGCUUGGUGUAUAGGUGUGUAGUUGCAGAGUGGCUAGAGAACCAGAGUGCUGAGAAUCGUCCAAAUUCUGUACAUGUGAGCAUCAGAACUGGACCAUUAGGACCAUUGGGAGGCUUGGUCUGAUGAAUCACAUCAUGGUGACAGCAACAUCAUGGGGAUAGUGUAUUGCUCUGGGCGGUCCUGGGCACCAUGUCCUGGCCUUCAAGCAGAAGUCACCCCCACCUCAAGGUAACACUAAAGUAAAGUGCUUGUGAUCUUUGUUUAGGAACGGUUUGAGAAACAUGACGGAGUUGCUUCUGAGCUCCACAGAUCUCAAUCUGAUCGAGGUUCUGUAGUAUGGGAUUCAAGGAGGCUCCAUCUCAGAACGCGUUUAGAAUUUAAAGGAUAAGAGCGAAAGAGAGCUGAGAACAUUGGGGGAGAGGGAGAUAGAGGGAGAACGUUGGAGAAAACGAGUGUGAGAGCAAGCGCGAGUGUUCAGUAGAAACAUCGGGGGAGGGGAAGUUGGUGAGCGAAAGCAUCUGGAAACAUUUAUACACGGACUAACGGCGAGAAAGAGAGCGAGAGGGAAAGAGCGAGAGAUAUUGAGCGAGAGAACGAGGGGGAGGAACAAAGCUAUCCCAACAGUUACAUCAUUCCAAAAGAACACAGACCCCCCCUUUCCCCAGUAACCCAGUCCGAUUUCCUGCAAAUUCCAAAGUCAGAUCCCGACUGGAACGUCUCCUCCGCCUGCCACGUCACUUCGCUCCCGCCGCAUGCUGCCGUCCUUCUCUUCGCAACUCAAAAGCUCUCAGAUGGACACACAGGAAAACUCUGGAGUUUUACUAAGAAACUGGUGGUGUGUGUGUGUGUGUGUGUGUGUGUGUGUGUGUGUGUGUGUGUGUGUGUGUGUGUGUGUAAAGAAAAGCCUGAGAGAGAGAUAUACACUCUCACACACUUUCUCACACACACACUUCUUCCGGAAUGUACUGGUGAGUGUUUUAUUUUUGAGCAGAACAUUUCAGUGUAGAGAAAAAUCUGUUGCUUGUUUCCGUGCACACACACACAUACACACACACACACACACUCCAAUAUUGUAUGGCAGUACAUUGAUUUUGCAAAUUUUGAAUCGAAUGAAUCAAUUCUUUUUAUCCUCAUUACUUUGAAGUUAUAUUGAUUCCUUUGUAGUUACAUUGAUUUUGAUUGAAGUUCGCUUUUGAUGUCUGAUUUGAAUAUUAUCUAAGAAAAGAGUGUGCGCAUAAGAGUGUGUGUGUGUGUGUGUGUGUGUGUAGCUUUAUCAUAUCAACAUGGCCGGCUUGAAUGUUUACUCUUGGGUCUCUCUCUCUCUUUUUCUCCUCCUCCUCUUCGCCAGGCCGAGCGUCCAGGGCAGUGACCUGCAGCUCGCCUGCCUGAUUUUGCCCCCCCGUCCGGUAUUGCCCCAUCCCCCUCGCCUGCCCAGUGUUCAGACUACCUGUUCAUUACGUUUAAGCUGAACAGUAGUCCGCACAUUGGUUAGGCUGGGCUGGGACACACACACAUCAGAAGAGACAAGGCUACAACUUUUUAGCUUCGGGACAGAAAGGAACAGAGGGACAGAGGGACACAGGACAGAGACUCAGCUGUCAGGACGAACCAGUACUCCUUGGAUCCUCCCUUCAUGAAGCUGAUGUUGAUGACCCAUUCCUCCACAAGGCAAACUCUGCGCCCCCUGCAGGAGCUCCAGCACUCAGCCAGACCCCAGGAUGACCGAGGCUUCAGUCUUUCGUUUUUAUUCAUUAAUUAAUAUAUUCUAAUAAAAAUGAACGAAGUCUACGAAUAAA